AAGUGGAAAACGGUUCGGGCUGGUCAAGGGCAGCCCACGAGAGGACGCCUCUUCGACACCAGCUCCUCUGCUCGAUCCCCAUCGACACCAGCGGCAGCUAGGGUUCCUAGCCGCCGCCAGCGCCGCCGCCGCCCCUCCACCGCCGCUUGCCAAGCUGACGGCGCCGCCUCCCGCCUCCGCCUCCCCGCCUCGAUCUCCUCCCUCCCCCGCCGCUCUUCGUCUGCCUCCCCGCCUCUCCAAGUCGCGCGGGAACCAGCAAGGCCGCCGCCCUCCACCGUCGUGCGCGGUGCCGCCGGCGACGUCUCCGGCAGCCCCGCCGCAACCUGUUCCCUCCAGUCUUGAAGAAUGACUGAAAAAGCGGUGUGGGAUGAUGCAAAUCUGAAGAAACUCAUAGAUAUAUUCAGAGAAGAGGUUGAAAAUGGGAAUAGGCCCAUAAGUUAUUUAAAUAAGAAGGGUUGGAAGAAUGUUUUGGAGAAAUGGGAAGCAAGAACGGGAAAGAAGUAUCCCAAGGAUAUCUUGCUCCUUUUAAGGGGAGUACGUACCAUCUACCAGAAUUUCGUCUUCGUCCUCACCGUCCACCUCAAGGGAAAUACGAGUUGUUCAACUUUUCACAUUCGUCCCUUCGCAAUGUUGUUGAGCGUGCUUUUGGGGUGCUUAAGCAGAAAUGGCGCAUAUUGAAAGGGGUCCCAAGUUUCUCACCUCGGACGCAAAAGCAUAUCAUCAUUGCUUGCAUGGCAUUGCACAACUUCAUUCGUGAUAGCAAGUUGAGUGACAAAUUUUUUGAUAAAUGUGAUGCCAAUGAUGAGUAUGUACCUCCAGUGCUACGACGCGAAGUAGCACAAACACAAGCGGAUCCUGUUGAAGAGGAGGAGAACGAAGAUACCAUUGAUACUAUUCGUAGUAGGAUAGCCGAUGCUUGUCUUGCGAUAGCAACAUAGGUUGCUAUCUUGAUGGAGGUCAUCAUGUGAACCAUAUAUAUAUAUUAUUCUAUGGUGCAUGCCUUUUGUAAUAUUAUUAUGGGAUCAGUAUUCUAUUUACAUGUAAUAUGCAACAUGAAAGCACAAUGGUUGAA